rnacentral:rRNA from 1 species
GGACCCGACCGCUAUCGGGGUAGGGCUAAGCCAUGGGAGUCGCACGCUCCGCCGCCGCGGAACGUGGCGCACGGCUGAGUAGCACGUGGCUAACCUGCCCUCGGGAGGGGGAUAACACCGGGAAACUGGUGCUAAUCCCCCAUAGGGGAAGGCGCCUGGAAGGGUCCUUCCCCGAAAAGGCCCGGCAGAGGUUAGCGCUGCCGAGUCGCCCGAGGAUGGGGCUACGGCCCAUCAGGUAGUUGGCGGGGUAAUGGCCCGCCAAGCCGAUAACGGGUGGGGGCCGUGAGAGCGGGAGCCCCCAGAUGGGCACUGAGACAAGGGCCCAGGCCCUAAGGGGCGCACCAGGCGCGAAACCUCCGCAAUGCGGGAAACCGUGACGGGGCUACCCCGAGUGCCUCCUUUCCGGGGGCUUUUCCCCGCUGUAGGAAGGCGGGGGAAUAAGCGGGGGGCAAGUCUGGUGUCAGCCGCCGCGGUAAUACCAGCCCCGCGAGUGGUCGGGACGGUUAUUGGGCCUAAAGCGCCCGUAGCCGGCCCGGCAAGUCCCCUCCUAAAUCCCCGGGCUUAACCUGGGGACUGGGGGGGAUACUGCCGGGCUAGGGGGCGGGAGAGGCCGAGAGUACUCCCGGGGUAGGGGCGAAAUCCUAUAAUCCCGGGAGGACCACCAGUGGCGAAGGCGCUCGGUUGGAACGCGCCCGACGGUGAGGGGCGAAAGCCGGGGGAGCAAACCGGAUUAGAUACCCGGGUAGUCCCGGCUGUAAACGAUGCGGGCUAGCUGUUGGGUGGGCUUAGAGCCCACCCAGUGGCGCAGGAAGCCGUUAAGCCC